CACGACUGUCCCACUCAGACAACAUGUCGUUUUUGGUCAAUUUAACCGUUAGUUGUACGUCGCGCGGUGAAAAAAACAAUCUUUACGCGGUUUCCUCCAACCGACAUGAACAAGCAAAGCAAAAAGCUUCAAACUUUUCGCAAAACCCCAAAUCAGACAAUUCGAUUUAGGGUUUUUUUUUCUUCCUUAUUUGACCUAAAAUCCCAAAUCGAAUUUCGGAUCCUACCCACAAGCAAAAAGUUGGCGAAUAAUAUUUCAGAAUCUUUGAAAGGUAAAAAACGCCCGCGAGAAGCAGACAUUGAUGCCCCAACCGGCGAUUUCGAUCAGAUUCCAAGACUAGAGGAAAAUCUUACAUUCAGCAGCACGUUGGUUGGGCUUCGGAUGAUGCGAGCUCAGUUUCCGAACAACGAAAAGGUUAGGAUUCUAUACUUUUGAUUUUGAUGUGAUUGUUUUUUUUAACGUUUCGGAGUUCACAAGCAGCCGAGUUAAUUAAAUAGUUGUGAAUUUGUAGCUUUUCUUGUUUCCUAAGUGUUUGCUACUGUUUAAAGUGGUGGUUAGUCAGUUGUAUUCGUCGUGGCAAUUUGAUUUUUGUUUGUCUUAUUUGAGCGAUAUUAUAAUCUAAUUAUAUAGGGGAGCAAUUCGAACUUGGGUGCUCUAGCCAACUAGUCAUGCCUUUUUCAGGUAACAGUUCAGCUUUUCAUUUUGCGGUCACAGUUGUAUGGCAUUGUAGACGACAGAACACAGGUGGACCGAGAUUUUAGAGGUCCGUGAGAACUUGAAAGAAGAUAACAGAAAUUUGUUUGAACUUUGAAUACAUUUUUAAUCUGCUUUUUACAAGAGUAGUAAUGUUGUUGUGAAGCUCUUUUGCUUGAGAAUUGAAUCAAUGAUCUUAGUUACUGAUCAGUACAUAUAGAACUUAUCCCAAAAUUUGACUUGACACUUUUGUUUCUUUCCAUCAAUGGUGGAAUUGGAUUCUAGGUAUGAGGUGCAAUGUCACUUUAAGAUAGUUGGCACCUUCUUCCUUCAGGAGUCUCUUAUGACUGACCUAGGUUACUAAUAUUUUGCAGACUCUAAGAAGUGAGAAAGUACUACGGGUUUUCAAGGUAAAUACUGGACAAGACGAUCAUGCAAUAAUCUUUUUGGAUAACUAUCUUUGCCAGGUUUGUUUACAAGAAUAUUUAGAUGUUUAUUCAGAAGCAGGAUUGCAUUUUAUCAUAUAUUUUCUAAGUGAGGAAUGCUUCUCUAUCUUGCUAUCUUGUUGUAAAAAGAAGUAAUGAAUAUCCACUAAACAUGGUCUGGGUGUGUGCUUCCUCCAAUUUUGUGCCUUGUCAAAACCUUGUUAGGACAUGGCAGUACAUUGAUGAACUUCUUACUGUCUGUAUAUAUAUGUAGAUGGAAGGGGUUGUGAAAAGAUUCAAAGAAAAGGACGAAGAUAUUCUUGAAGUUUUUAAUUGGUUUAAAUGACACAUUAUUUAUUUGAAACUCAAAACCAGUAUUGGACAUCAAGAACUUGUGAGUGAUUGGAGUAUCUGUGUGCUUCUCGGAGAAGGUUUCUUUUAAGGCAGUUUAAUGCGCGUAACAAGAUAAUGAUUGAACAAAUCGCUAUGUAGAUACAAUACAAUACAAUUACAAUCCAACUGAAAAAUGGUUUGCGGCGGUGUAAAUUGUGGAGGAAAGGUGAAGGAUGAAGACAUCUCCCUCUUAAUCAAUUCUGGCUUUCUUUGUCCAGCUUUCUAACUAUGGAAUCUACUUCUGGACUCGGCAACUUAUUGAUCGAAAUGUUCACUGGUCUGCAAUUCCAAAUAUUGGUUCAGUACUAAAAGGCCUCUCUCAGAAAGGAAGUUCUUUCUCUUCUAAACCCCAGGAGAUACAAAUAAUGAUGAUGGCUCCUUUAGAGAAGACGGGUCUUUGAUUUUCUCCAGUUAUGAGAUUUCACCUUUCUGAUCUAAUAGGCUCAGGUCAUCUCAAAACUGCCAAGAGACUGACAGGCUUAGUUGUUCGAGUCUCAAAAGAUUGAAAAACAGGAAUAGUACUAGCAGCCCCAUGGAUUCAUAAGAUUGUUGUGCUUCUCUUGGCUGUCUAUCUUAUUAUAGGUAUACCAGCGCUGCUGAAUAUACGUUCCACUAGGUACAUGACCAGAAGUUUUGCAGGCCGUCCAAUGUGGACGAACAAACAAAGUCAUCGUAUCAGCAAACCAGCCAACCCGCAUGAGCAUGAAGGAUAGAAGAUCUGCUAGGUCUUGUAUUAUUCAUUUCAUAACUGAUAUUUUUUUUUUCAGUUCUACAGCAUCCAUGUGAAUUCAUGCUUAAUUCAUUUCUUCUGAUUUGAUUA